AGGAUUAAAUGUGAUAUGAAAAAGAGAGUUGAAGGACUUAGUUUGCAAUUAUGGGUUAGUGGACCAUUUAAUUCAACCAUUUGACCCAUUCUCUCUCAAUUUCACACCAAAACACACACACACACACAGAGUAACGAGAGAAGCAGAGACCGGCAGUGAAGGGAGAAAAAAGGAAAGAAGAAAGGAAAAAGAAAAAGAAAAAGGAAAAGAAGAAAGGAAAAAGAAGAAGAAAAAAGGUAAGGUUAAUCUCUUCAAGUUGGGUUUAAUUUUUCCACUUUGUUUUCGAGUGAUUAAGUAUGAUUUAUAUUGAAUUUUUAGGGUUUUAACUUGUAGAAUAAAAUGUCGAAUUUUAGGUGAUAUUUGUGCGAAUUGGAGCUCAAGUUUGGGGAUUUCUUCAUUUCCAAUUUCAGCUAGGUAAGGGAUAUUAUUUUAGCAAACCCUAGAAAUUUUAUUUGGGAUUUUUGGGAUUAAGUAUGUUCAUGAAAAUGAUGAUGUUGAGAAAAUAAUUAUUUGGAAGCAUGAAAUUAUGGAACAAGAGGAAAAUUUUAAUUAGUUGAAUUAUAGCAACUUCUUGUCACUUGAAUGAUGUGGAUUGUCACAGUGAUGUUUGGAAGUGAAGGUUAUGUUGGUAAAUUAGUUAUUAGUCAAUGGAUUAUAAAAUGUGAUUAGCUCCAAUUAAUAAAGGAAAAUUUGAGAACUUAUUCAAGUGUCCAGAAAAUUUAAUUUUAAGGUCUAUCUAGAUAUUAAGGUUUCUUGAUUAGAUAGAGGAUAAAUUGGUUAUUAAUAUCAUAUUUCAGGUGGUGGCGAGGAAAUUGGAAACGUUUAUCAGCCAAUCUAGCUUGUAGCUCAUACCUUAUGAGUGGAUAAAACUUAUUUUUCAGAAAUAAGUCUUCUUUAAAUUUUAAAGUUAUUUAUUUUAUAAAAUUGAUUUCAUAGCAUGAUUUUUAGAAUAAAAUAAAUUUUAUUAUCAAUUGCUUUUAAAGUUAAAUUCAGUUCGGUUAAAUUAUUUUAGUAGCAUGUUAUAUUCUUAUUACAUGUUUCAGUAUAGUUAAAGUUAUUUCUAAAAACCACCAGAAAGUACUCAGGUGAUUUUACCCCAGUUUGCACUGAUGUGAAUGUGUUUCCACAGUGUAUGACUAGUUAUAGUUAUUUUACCCACUCUGUACUAUCGUGAAUGUGUUUCCAUAGUGUAUGACCAGAUUAUCAGAGG
rnacentral:lncRNA from 1 species